AGUGAACGCUGGCGGUAGGCCUAACACAUGCAAGUCGAACGGCAGCACAGUAAGAGCUUGCUCUUACGGGUGGCGAGUUGCGGACGGGUGAGGAAUACAUCGGAAUCUUCUUUUUCGGGGGGGAUAACGUAGGGAAACUGACGCUAAUACAUCAUACGUUCUACGGGUUGAAUCAGGGGAUCUUCGGACCUUUCGCGUUUGAAAUAGCCGAUGUCGGAUUAGCUAGUUGGCGUGGUAAAGGCCCACCAAGGCAACGAUCCGUAGCUGGUCUGAGAGGAUGAUCAGCCACACUGGAACUGAGACACGGUCCAGACUCCUACGGGAGGCAGCAGUGGGGAAUCUUGGACAAAGGGCGCAAGCCUGACCCAGCCACACCGCGUGGGUGAAGAAGGCCUUCGGGUUGUAAAGCCCUGUUGUUGGGAAAGAAAAGAAGCAGGUUAAUCUCCGGAUGUUCUGACGGUACCCAAAGAAUAAGCACCGGCUAACUUCGUG
rnacentral:rRNA from 1 species